UACGUAGGUGGCAAGCGUUGUUCGGAAUUACUGGGCGUAAAGCGCGCGUAGGCGGACUUUCAAGUCAGGGGUGAAAUCCCGAGGCUUAACCUCGGAACUGCCUUUGAUACUGUUGGUCUUGAGUCCGGGAGAGGUGAGCGGAAUUCCUAGUGUAGAGGUGAAAUUCGUAGAUAUUAGGAAGAACACCAGUGGCGAAGGCGGCUCACUGGCCCGGUACUGACGCUGAGGCGCGAAAGCGUGGGGAGCAAACAGG
rnacentral:misc_RNA from 1 species